rnacentral:rRNA from 1 species
UACGUAGGGGGCAAGCGUUGUCCGGAUUUAUUGGGCGUAAAGAGCGUGUAGGCGGCUUGGUAGGUCCGCUGUGAAAACUCGAGGCUCAACCUCGAGAUGUCGGCGGAAACCACUUGGCUAGAGUCCGGAAGAGGAGAGUGGAAUUCCGUGGUGUAGCGGUGAAAUGCGCAGAUAUCAGGAAGAACACCUAUGGCGAAGGCAGCUCUCUGGGACGGUACUGACGCUGAGACGCGAAAGCGUGGGGAGCAAACAGG